rnacentral:rRNA from 1 species
UACGUAGGGUGCAAGCGUUGUCCGGAAUUAUUGGGCGUAAAGAGCUCGUAGGCGGUCUGUCGCGUCUGCUGUGAAAAUCCAGGGCUCAACCCUGGACCUGCAGUGGAUACGGGCAGACUAGAGUGCGGUAGGGGAGAUCGGAAUUCCUGGUGUAGCGGUGAAAUGCGCAGAUAUCAGGAGGAACACCGGUGGCGAAGGCGGAUCUCUGGGCCGUAACUGACGCUGAGGAGCGAAAGCAUGGGGAGCGAACAGG